rnacentral:rRNA from 1 species
UACGGAGGGGGCUAGCGUUGUUCGGAAUUACUGGGCGUAAAGCGCACGUAGGCGGCUUUGUAAGUUAGAGGUGAAAGCCCGGGGCUCAACUCCGGAAUAGCCUUUAAGACUGCAUCGCUUGAACGUCGGAGAGGUGAGUGGAAUUCCGAGUGUAGAGGUGAAAUUCGUAGAUAUUCGGAAGAACACCAGUGGCGAAGGCGGCUCACUGGACGACUGUUGACGCUGAGGUGCGAAAGCGUGGGGAGCAAACAGG